CAAGUCACCCCAGUGCCUGAGAGCAUUGUCCAAACACUUGCUGAACUCUGUCGGGCUGGUGCUGUGACCACUGCCCUGGGGAGACGGGAGUGCCCAACCACCUGCUGGGUGAAGAACCUUUUCCUAAUAUUCAACCUAAACGUCCCCUGACACAGCUUCAGGCCACUCCCUCAGGUCCAGUCAGUGUCACCACAGAGAAGCGAUCAGUGUUUGCCCCUCCUCUUCCCCUCAUGAGGAAGUUGUAACUGCAGUGAGGUCUCCCCUCAGUCUCCUCCAGGCUGAACAGAACAAGUGACCUCAGCCACUCCUCACAUGGCUUCUCCUCAAGGCCUAGUUGGCUGCAAGAAGAGAAAGGCAAAUUAGCAAACAGGAGCUUGGAGAGAGCUUUGGAGGAAGCCACAGUCAGAAGGGAGAAUGCAAUUAUCUCCCACAACUGCUUGCCUGCUCUGGCCUAUGCACAUCAAAUUCAGGAUCAGUGCUAUUUGGGAAAACCUGCAAAGCCACAGGAAAGGAAAAGACAGGCAAGUUACAAAUCUUGUAGUGUGAAAGUUCAGAGAAUUUUAAAAUUCUAUUUUUGCUUUUCAACUUGUUAAUCUUAAAUAAACAAUGAUGCAAGGACUGUCGUUUAGUAUUUGGUUUCUGAAGCAGUAUUUCUCUUCUGCCUCAAUGCAGCAACUUCGUGUUGUUAAAAAGUCAAAGGGAAGGGAUGACUCAGGGUGCAGCAAGGACCAGCAGGCAGCAUAUCAGGAGUCUGCUUCCACUCUAGCCCCAAAAGUCCCAAGAUUAGAACUAUUAACAGAGCUAAAUGUUCCUGUGUGCAAAUCUUCAGAGAUUUCUGGAAAACAACACAAAGCCUCUUUUCAAUACUUUGAAACUCUGUUGGAGAUUACAUGAAGACUGAGAUUAAAUGUGUGCUGGCAUUGAUACUACCAGGAAGCAGAGGAAUUUUCUAGAACAAAGAAGCAUAGGCAGACAAUGCAGAGUUGUUGCCUAAAUUGUAUUUUCUUGAACAUGGAUAAAAAUAUAUGUAAAAUGCCUUUUUUAUUUUUAGAUUACACAUAAUUGUCUACCUUAUUACAAUAAGAAAAAGCCAAAAGGCAGCCAUAACACUAUUUUUCUCCUACCAAUAUAAGUGGACUAAUUUCACAUGAACAAUUCCACAGAAGUAAUGAGUGGAAAACAGACUAUGGACAUACAUGUUGUUCUAAGACUGGGAAGAGUGAAGUAGGGGUAAAAUUAAGGAGUGAACAAUAAAUGCUUAUAUUUGUUUAUGUAUACAAGGUAGAGAUUUUGAGGAAUGUUAA